rnacentral:rRNA from 1 species
GACGGAGGAUGCAAGCGUUAUCCGGAAUGAUUGGGCGUAAAGCGUCUGCAGGUGGCAGUUCAAGUCUGCUGUCAAAGACCGGGGCUUAACUUCGGAAAGGCAGUGGAAACUGAACAGCUAGAGUAUGGUAGGGGCAGAGGGAAUUCCUGGUGUAGCGGUGAAAUGCGUAGAGAUCAGGAAGAACAUCGGUGGCGAAGGCGGGUCUCUGGGCAGUAACUGACGCUGAGGAGCGAAGCGUGGGAGCGAACAGG